rnacentral:rRNA from 1 species
UACAGAGGGGGCAAGCGUUGUUCGGAAUUACUGGGCGUAAAGGGCGCGUAGGCGGCCUGCUAAGUCGAACGUGAAAUCCCUGGGCUCAACCCGGGAACUGCGUCCGAUACUGGGAGGCUUGAAUCCGGGAGAGGGAUGUGGAAUUCCAGGUGUAGCGGUGAAAUGCGUAGAUAUCUGGAGGAACACCGGUGGCGAAGGCGGCAUCCUGGACCGGUAUUGACGCUGAGGCGCGAAAGCCAGGGGAGCAAACGGG